rnacentral:lncRNA from 1 species
ACUUCCGGUUUGGAGGGAGGAAGAGAAUAGGCACUGAAGAGAGAUACUAGCUUUUGGAGAGGGACAGUGGGAGGUGAGGAUGUAGAUAGUGGAGACCUCAUUUCAGGUGGCAGAUCCAUUUGAAUAUACUACCUGAGGAUUUCACUCAGUAUGGCUUUUAAUUUGGAUGUUAGCUGUUGUGCCCAGUGAUUGAGUUACCACUGAUUCUGAACUAAGUUUGUGUGGUACUGUCCUUCAUGCAUCGGCAUGACAGGGUUCCAGAGAGAAAGGUUGUGGGGAUCUUAAUUCAGAUCAUCACUCUUGUGUAAUAAGCAGUUUAUCCCCCAAGUCAUCAGGGAUGGCCGACUAGGUCAUCAAAGACUUUUAACUGGCAAAAUGCUGAGAAGAAAUGAGCAUGAGAGAUCGGCCACGCAUGAGACAUCUAGACCACUAUCCCUAUCGCCCAGGGAACAUGACAGAAGAGGCGGGAAGAAUGCAAGAGCUGGGAGAUAGGUGAAAAUGUGGUGUUCGUUUCAUCUAGCUGUGAGCUGGAAAUGUUCCUCGUGUGUUGAAAUAGCAAUCGACUAAGAGUACACUCGAAGGAGGGGAAGUGGCCAGUGUUUACACUGACAGUUUAUCAACAGCUGUGAGCAUAAGGCAAAGUUCACCUCAGCUCUCAGGGACUCAGUCUUCUCAAGAGUAAACUAAAAUAACAGUAUGGGACAUACACCCGAAACAGUUGAUGAGACCCCUCUGAAAUGCUCUACUGGGAUGAAACCAAGAAGGGGACCAUGACAGAGGAGGCAUGGAGGAAAGCGAAGAAGAGAGGAGCACUGAACAUAUGCAACAUGGAAGCAGAGCAUAGCUGCUUGAGGAAGGAGGGGUCUGAGUGAGACGGAGUCAGGGGAAAAGGGAGAUUAGUGCAGCCCAGAGAGAACAGAACCAUACAUAACGCCAUGUGUGUUUGAAGAUGCCACAAUGAGCCUGCUUCAUCAACUGUUAACAGAAGAAAUUCAAGUAAAUGUACUUACAGCUUAGGAUACAAAUACAGAAAUGUUACAGAAUCAUUCCCAUUGUUAUUUUAUUUUAAAGUCACUGGCAAAAUGACUCCUGCUUGAUGAAAUUAGAGUUGUAUGCACAAGC